UGCCCCUCUCCAUGCUGCUCUCUACCCCACGAGACUGACCUGUCUGUCCUACAGUAAUAGGCUGCACCCCCUCUGGCUCUGGGCUGGGUCUGGUCAAUGGGGUCUCUGAUAGACUAGAAGGAAAUUGGUCAGUGAAGCUGGCAUAUUUAUUCCUCUGUCUCUGUUCUCACAGGGUCAUCUCAGGCUGGCUGCACGCCUCAGCUGAAGAUCCCAGCUCCUGUCAAUGCCACCUCUCUGCUUGACUGUCUCCCUCCAGAUUCGAGCAGGUAUGAGCUGGGAAGAAUGAAGGCAGGGCAUGCCCGUGUGCCAGCUCUGCACAGCUGGAUAGAUGAGGAAAGAUGUGGAGGAGAAGCCGGGGAUUGUGUGGAAGUCUAAGGGUGUUGUUUGCCCUUUGGGUUCCAGAAUAUGCAUGCCAGGACCCUGGGUGGCACUGCCAGGAAGCAACAGAGAGGAGAUAAAACUCACAGCAGACGGACUUGCCUUAACAACAACUCCCUUGAAUUAAAACACGCUUUUCAAGAAAACAAAUUAUCAGUUCGAUCAGCAAACAGCAGAGAAGUUUCUCUCAUAAUGGCAAAGAAGGGCCGGGUUGCUGACCAGUGUAAGAGCUUCAGAAAAGGAGAGGGGAGAUGAGAUGGCCAGAAGGAGCAAGAGCACCGUACAUCCCUGGACAACCUCAUUCUAAUGGGUCAGGGGCUGGGACGUGCAUUUUGGAGUGCAGGAGAAGUGGCAACUCACAAAUGCUAGAUUUUCUUCUAGAGAUGACCAAGCUGUAGUUCUUAAAGCAGUGGCACUAGGGCAGAAAACUCUCACACUUUGAUGUGCACACACAGCCCCUGGGGAUCUUGUUGACAUGUAGAUUCUGAUUCCGUAAGUCGGGCUGAGAUUCUGCAUUUCCAACAAGCUCCUAGAUGAGGUCCAUUUUGCUGGUCCAUGAAACACACUUAGAAUAAGUAGCAAGGUAUAGGAGGAUACUGACUUUGCUCAGUGAUGCUUGGGCUUCCCUCCAGACUAAAAUAAAACAAAAGCAGACAUAAAUGGCCCAAUUCAACAGCCUGAGAAGUUUGGUGAUAAUGACCCAAGCCCUGGCCUGGUGACCAAGUGGCUGCUCAGAGAGCUCUAUCUCCAAACUCCUUCCCUUCCUGCCUCCCCUCCAAGAGUGAGUAAUGUGCCAGAGUUCACUGGGGUCUGCUGUCCCCAGGGAAAGGUGGCCCAGUUGCCAAGUGCAAGUGUAUAGAACGGCUUACCUGUGCAAAGCUAUCAGCCCUGGACCUAUGGGCCUAGAAACAUUACUUGCCACUCACUCACUCACUAUCAUUCAUUCAUUUCUGCAACAAACACUUCC
rnacentral:lncRNA from 1 species